rnacentral:rRNA from 1 species
AACGCGAAGAACCUUACCAGCUCUUGACAUGUCCGGUGUGGUCGUCAGAGAUGACGUCCUUCCCGCAAGGGGCCGGAACACAGGUGCUGCAUGGCUGUCGUCAGCUCGUGUCGUGAGAUGUUGGGUUAAGUCCCGCAACGAGCGCAACCCUCGCCCUUAGUUGCCAUCAUUCAGUUGGGCACUCUAGGGGGACUGCCGGUGAUAAGCCGAGAGGAAGGUGGGGAUGACGUCAAGUCCUCAUGGCCCUUACGGGCUGGGCUACACACGUGCUACAAUGGCGGUGACAAUGGGAUGCUGAGGGGCGACCCCGAGCAAAUCUCAAAAAGCCGUCUCAGUUCGGAUUGCACUCUGCAACUCGAGUGCAUGAAGGUGGAAUCGCUAGUAAUCGUAGAUCAGAACGCUACGGUGAAUACGUUCCCGGGCCUUGUACACACCGACGCAC